rnacentral:lncRNA from 1 species
GUUUACAAAAAGUGAAAAUUAUCGUAAUAGCAAAGUGAGUAACUGUUAAUAGCUAUGUUAUGUUGUUAUUGAAUGAAAUGAUUUACGCAAGCACGAUUAAGUAUGCCUAUGGAAUGAAUCCAUAUGAACAUAGAGCUAUUAAGAUAUGAGAUCACCACUACGACAGAACAUAGAAGCAAACAUAGAAAAAAUUAGACUGUAUCUUUUGGUGGCUAUAGUGAAGGAAGCAAGAUAAGCGAUACGUAUAGAAAAAUUUUUAAGCUCAUGAUAUUAUAGCCACUAUAAAUCUCCAUGACUUAUGCUUAAGUAUCCAAUUUAGAUGAUGAGAUUUAUAUGCUUAAGAAUUGUUAUGACUCAUAGAUUUGAGAUGCUAAGGACCCUUAAAGCUUACUACAUCAAUGUUGUCAUUGGAGUCAUGACUUGUUUACAAGUUAAAAUAAGUUAACAUGUACAAGAAUUCUUUGAGGAUUGUAUUAGAUUAUGCUAGAGUGUACUAAUUGGCACAUCCUUGCUAUCAGAAUGCCACCUAAGAGAGGACGCCCUGCGAGAAACAAUAACAAUCGCAGAAACCGUAACGCUGUACCCGAAGAACCACAAGAUGCUCGAGGACAUAACCCAUCCCCUCCGCCCCCAACUAGGAGAGUCGAAGAACUCUUUUUAAGGCAAAAUCCACCUACGUUUGACGGAACGAGUGAACCGGCUGAAGCUGAGAUUUGGGUGCGUGCAAUGGAACGCAUUUUCAACUUUCUACGUUGUACUGAUGAGGAGCGCCUAUCUUGCGUCUCAUUCCAACUAACAGGAUCAGCUGACUUCUGGUGGGAAGCACGUCGAAAAAUUCUGACACCUGAACAAUGGGCAAGUUAUACUUGGGAAGAUUUUAAGACAGGAUUAUAUGAUAAAUAUAUUCCGAAAAGCUAUAGGAAGAAGAAAGAAGCUGAGUUCUACGAGUUGAAGCAAGGAAAGAAAAAUGUGGUUGAAUACGACAAGGAAUUCUGCAACCUGUCGAGGUUUGCUCCACAACAAGUGGACACAGAGGAGAAGAUGGCAGAGAAAUUUUGUGCCGGACUGCGCUACGAAAUUAAGAUGGCUCUAGCAAGCCACGGAGGACUCUCAUACACGGAGUCUCUGAACAGGGCACUUGACAUUGAAGCUGCAAUGCCGUCGGACAAGUUAGCCUCACCAUUUAUCUCGACGCCAAACGACUUACCAGCAGUCUCACAUACCCUCAAAGGGAAGCGCAAGUGGGACAACAACGAAGACAAUAUCAAUCAGAAUAGUAAGAAAGUGUGGCAAGAAAAGGAACGGGCCGAACAGUUUAUUCAACCAAGGUACGAGGCACAGACUAACCUCGAGUCAACUGGGGGUAACCAAGGUCAGAGAGGAAUUUCACCUUGCCCAAAUUGCGGUAAGAUGCAUAGAAGUGUUUGUCGAUCUGGGACUAACGGUUGUUACAAUUGUGGCCAAAAGGGUCACUACUCCACGCAAUGCCCCAACAGACAACGAGGUUCAGCAAUUGGGAACACCCACACCCCCUUGCCAGCAAUACGUGGACACUUGCGAAAUCAGCCUCAAUCACAUCAGUGAAAAUCUUAUGGAGACACCGCAGACAAGAGAAGCUACGCGGGAACUUGAAGACAAGAUGAAGGAAAAAUACCCCGAACUGUUUUAGCAGAGAUAUGCAAAUUUCGGGACGAAAUUUUUGUUAAGAGGGGUAGUAUGUAGUAGCCCGCUCUUUUAAUUAUGAUUAAAACUAGUAAAUGCAAUUUUUAUAAAUGAAUCCAGUUUAUGGUCCUGAUUUUUUUUUAUCAGAGACGGAGUUAUUAUUUUAGCUUUAUACUUUUAUAACGUAUGAGAAAAACGCGACGAGGAUUAUUGAGCCAUUCAAUAAUUAUUAUUUCCAAGUUAUAACUGACUUAGCAAAGUCAUGUUAUUUAUUAAUCGAAAAACAGAAGCAGUUAUAUUUUAUUAGUGCUACUAGAAGUCGAGGAAUUAUUCCGACUGCAACGCAGAUUAAAUCUACGGAUUUAAUUUAAGUUAUAUUACAGUUUAUUAAGUUAGCAGGCAAGGAAAAAGAUAUCAAGCAAGAUACAGAAAUGCGAUGAUUGAAAAUCGAAGCCAGUAUUUAUUUACAGUUCACAGAUUACAGGCUAGUUCCCAGCUUGGGGAAAAUCGUUUAGUAUAUUACAAAAACAAAAGCUCUUCAAUCAAUUAGAGUUUAAAUACAGUUAUUAUUUCAAUCUUUUGCUAAUGAUGUACACGUCUUUACUCCCCACUUCUCCACUCCACCAACUUCCCCACCACACUCAAAGUAUCAGCACCAACACCAACCCCACCUCACCAAACAUCCCACUCCACCAACUCCACUACCUUUGCUCCCCACCAACUCCAACACUUCACCCAUUCCUUCCAUUUCGCACCAGCAAUCACAAAGAGAAGGAAGACUUGGCUUAACUACUUUGCCAAGAUUUCAAGCUGCUCCAAUCCAGUAGUACCCCAACACUCGAAGCAUUGGAGGAAGAAAUCAUUUACUGCACUGCUGCCAAACUUCAAGGAAAGCUAUUCCAGUUCGUCUAGUACCUCAACAACAGCCAACCAAACAAUCAAGGUAUUACCAUCUCAAGUUAGUCUAUAUGUUUGCAUAUUUCACACCCCAACAGAGCAUGCUUAGAUUAAUCAGAAAUUCAGAAUAUAGAAUUGAGUAAUGCAGAUGGACAUAGCAAACCACGUUUGAGUACAUGAUUUAUGACAUUUCACAAAAAUAGUAUGGUCCAUACAUUGAGAUAUUGCCACUGCACUCUAGAACAACAAAAGCUUGAGAACCUUUGCCUUUAACAAAAUAGAAACUAGAACAGAAGGAUUUAGGACUUAACUUUAAGAUAUAGUGCCGGCUACCUGUUCGGACGAGCCCAAAGCAACGACGAACCCUGCUGCCGUGAUGGAGUUCGAAAACGAAGACGACGAACUCUCGUUGUCUCCUCUGUUUCAGAGUAUAACAGCAACAGCGGCAUAUCAGACCGGUGGCCGACGGCGUCUGACUCAUCGGAGAAGGAAGGCCGACUAAUUCACCGGGAAAUACAGUAAACGGCGGCGAACCCGGAGCGGCAGAUUCAGUUUUAAAAGAAGGGAAAACGAACGGCGUUGUCCUCGCCGAUUCUAGGGGCGGCGACAGCUAGCCUCGACGAAACCUCUGAGUUGCGGCGGCACUGGAGAACUCAGCAGUGGCCGCAUCGGGAGCUCACGGUUGAACUGGCAGAUUGAGGAAGAGAGGGAGAAGAAGAACUAUACCGCGAAGGCGUCGACCACGCCGGUUGAGAGAAGCAACGCCGCUCCCAGACGACGGCCGCUCGCCGGAUUCCAGACGAGAGUGACAGCAGCGGCGACCUGGCAAUCCAGAGUUAGGGCUCGACGGGAUUAUGCGUGAGGAGAGAGAGAGGACGUCGCCGGGGUUCGACGCGUCGACAGAUGCCGGCUGAACAGCCGGAGAAGCGAAGCCGGCCAAAUUUAGCUGGAGGAGAAGGGGGCCGAUCGGCUGGUUUGAGAGAGAAGGAGGAAUCGGCUCCUUGAGAAAGAGAGAAGCCGAGAAAUUAGAGAGAGAGAAAUAGUAUGGGUUGUGUUUUAUUUGGGCCAUUCCCUUAUGUGAUUUGGGCCGAAUGAUUUUAAAGUUUGGGCUUUUCUUUUAAUUGGUUUUGGGCCAACCUUUAUUAUUUUAUUGGGUCCAGACUAAUUUAUUUUCAGUUGGGCCAAACUCAUUUAAUUGUUUGGGCUCGAAUUGUUUUAAUUGUUUUGGGCCAAAGGCUUUUAAGUUCGGGCUUGAUUUUAAUUGCUUGGGCUUUCACAGUUAAAUACGAAUUGGGCCAGUCUUUUAUUUAAUUGGCCAUUCUCAUUAAUUCUAUUGGGCUUGAUUUAUUUAAGGAGUUGGGCUGAUGCAUAUUUUAUGAUGGGCUAUUAUUCUAAUCCCAUUAUUAUUUCGUUGGGCCUCGUUUGAUUUAUUUAAUUGAGCCCAACUAAUCAAAUUAUUUAUUCAUGGGACUAAGAUUUAUUCUUUUCAGCCCACAUUAAUUACUAUUAUCACUUGGGCUGAAGUUACUCCUUUGAGUUAAGCCUAGCAGUAUCUAUUAUGAUGGAGCCCAAUUAUUUAUCUGAUCCGAUUCUUAUUUAGUAAAUGAUCUGCCCAGUUUAUUAAUUAUUGUUUUUGGACUUCAUAUUUUAAAGCGAGCUAUCAUUGUUUAUUUCAUUAAAGCCAUUGGUUUAUUUAAUUAAUUGGCUACUCUCUUUUGAGCCUAUUAAUUAAUUGAGGUUACGUUAGUAUUUAUAUUUCUAAAAGCUCGAUAAUUUCUACGAGGUCACACCUCGUUUAAAGCCGAGUUAGUCCUAUUUUCGAUCGAGUACAAAUGCGAGAUUUAUUUUCACAACUAGAAUAUUCCGAUGAGGAAGGAAGAAUCACAGCUUUAUUCGGCCGCGUUAGACGAGAAUUAGUUAAAUCUAUUAUAGCAAGGAUUUAUAGUAGAAUUUCCCGAUUAUUAUUUCAGAAUAAUGAUUCAUGCAUAAGAGGAUCAUGCAUCGUUAAAUUCGUAUUCUCAUUAUUAAGAAUUUUUCCUCGAGGCAAUGUCUUAUUUUAUAUUCUCGUGAUUAAGGUCAAGCGCGAGAGUAAGAACUACACAAGGAGUUAGAAUACCUUAGCAAAACUUUGCUAUCAGGUGGGCAAUUCCUUACGCGUAAAUAAAAUGCUAUGCAAAUGUUAUGCUUUAAAAUGCAAAUUGGAUCUUCAAGUAUGGUAUGCUUUAUUACGCUUAAAUGAGUUAAGCUUUAUUAUGCUGCACGUUAAAUGAUUUACGCUAUGCUGUUUAUACUAUUUACGCCCUAUGUAAUUUACGCUUGAUUACACUUAUUUACGCUUGAAUGCUUUACGCUGAUAAGUUUAUGCUUAUGUUUGAUGCUUGCGUCUGUUGGGGGAGGCCUCCCUCAACAGUACGAUGCCGUGUCCGCUGAGGAGGGCCUUCCUCACGGCGCGAUGCCCGUGUCCGCUGAGAGAGGCCUCUCUCGCGGCGCGAUGCCAGUAUGCCAGUAUGCCAGUAUGCCAGUAUGCCAGUGUUACAGCGUCUAUUGGGGGAGGCCUCCCUCAAUAGUACGAUGCCGUGACCGCUGAGGGAGGCUCCCUUCACGGCACGAUGCCCGUGUUCGUUGGGGAAGGCCUUCUCCACGACACGAUGCGUGUUUAUGAUUGUUAAUGAUGAAGAAUGCGCUCAUGCUGUUUAUGAAUUUGGAAAUGUUUAAUGAGCAAAGGAUAUGAAAGAAACUUAUGCCUCUUAUGCGAUGUUGUGUUUUGUUAUGUUAUAUGCUUGGCAACUGCCCACUAAGUACUUUUGUACUUAGCCCUUCGAUGUUUAUGAUUGUGCAGGUUGAGCUGUGAUGGGCGAUGAAGUGUUGCUGAGUGGAGUUUUUGUCGAACUUAAAGUAGGCUCAGAAAGGAUACAUGUCUUCAUACAUGUAUCACAGUUAUGCUUUCCGCUGUAAACACUGAUUAUUUCAGUUACGCCUUCCGUUGCAAACUCUGAUAAUGUUUUAGCCAAGCCCCUAAUGAUGCCUUUUUCCUUUUAAGGAAUAUAACGCGUAUACAAGUUCUUUGAGUACCCUUUUUAUGCGAACUAUGCCUUUUUCCUUUUUAAGGAAUAUUUCACGCGUAUUCAAGCUCUUUGAGUAUUCUUUUAUGCACCCCUUUCUAAACCCGCUUCUUAAUUUCCCUUCCCCAGUCAUGGUUUUCCCGGAUUAAUUAUCCUUAAUUAAGGCCGGUCGUGACA